rnacentral:rRNA from 1 species
GUUUAUCAAAAACAUGUCUUUUUGAAUUUUAUUUAAAGUCUGACCUGCCCACUGAAAUUUUAAAUGGCCGCAGUAUUUUAACUGUGCAAAGGUAGCAUAAUCAUUAGUCUUUUAAUUGAAGGCUAGAAUGAACGGUUGGAUGAAAUAUUAACUGUUUCAUAUAAAUUAAAAAUAAAACUUUAUUUUUUAGUUAAAAAGCUAAAAUUUGAUUAAAAGACGAGAAGACCCUAUAAAUCUUUAUAUUUAAUUUUAUAAUUUUUAUGUUGAUAAUUUAAAUUUUUAUUAUAUUAAAUAUUUUAUUGGGGUGAUAAUAAAAUUUAUAUAACUUUUAAUUUAAAUUAAACAAUAAUAAUUGAAAUAUUGAUCCAUAUUUAAUGAUUAAAAAAUUAAGUUACUUUAGGGAUAACAGCGUAAUUUUUUUAGAGAGUUCAUAUUAAUAAAAAAGUUUGCGACCUCGAUGUUGGAUUAAGAUAAAAUUUAGGUGAAGAAG